rnacentral:rRNA from 1 species
CCCUUAGAUGUCCUGGGCCGCACGCGCGUUACACUGAUGCAUUCAACGAGCUUAUAACCUUGGCCGAGAGGCCUGGGCAAUCUUGUUAACGUGCAUCGUGAUAGGGAUAGAUUAUUGAAAUUAUUAAUCUUGAACGAGGAAUUCCUAGUAAGCGCAGAUCAUCAAUCUGCAUUGAUUACGUCCCUGCCCUUUGUACACACCGCCCGUCGCACCUACCGAUUGGAUGGUCCGGUGAAGCCUCGGGAUUGUGGUUCUUGCCGCUUUAUUGUGGCGUGACCGCGAGAACUUGUCUAAACCUUAUCAUCUAGAGGAAGGAGAAGUCGUAACA